rnacentral:rRNA from 1 species
UACGAAGGGGGCAAGCGUUGUUCGGAAUUACUGGGCGUAAAGCGCAUGUAGGCGGUCAUUCAAGCCAGAGGUGAAAUCCCAAAGCUCAACUUUGGAAUUGCCUUUGGAACUGUGUGACUGGAGUCUCGGAGAGGAUGGUGGAAUUCCAAGUGUAGAGGUGAAAUUCGUAGAUAUUUGGAGGAACACCGGUGGCGAAGGCGGCCAUCUGGACGAGUACUGACGCUGAGAUGCGAAAGCGUGGGGAGCAAACAGG